AAUUACUCAAUCUAAGAAGAUGUUUGUCUUGAAAACAAAAUAUAAAAGUUAAACCUUUUAGUAAUUU
rnacentral:tRNA from 1 species